rnacentral:lncRNA from 1 species
AAAACCCCAUUCAUGCUUUCAAACUACUCAAACAAAUUCUGCCAGACGUCAACAACUAUUGAGUUUAAGACGAGUGCCCAAAAAUUAUGCUAGCACAAUUCGUUAAUCCUCUAAAAGGAUUACAUUAGCUAAGUUGUGGUUGUCAAGCUUGAUAGAAUUCUCCUUUGACAACAUCUAUCACAAAAUAUUUGGUUGAGUUCUCGGUGUUGAGGAAUCAUGACCUCCAUAAAAAGCCUUUACAAACUCCCAGUCCACUCAAG